CAUAUUGAGAGUUUGAUCCUGGCUCAGGAUGAACGCUGGCGGCGUGCCUAAUACAUGCAAGUCGAACGGAGUACCCUUGAAAGCGGUUUCGGCCGAACUAGAGGACUACUUAGUGGCGGACGGGUGAGUAAUGCGUGAGCAACCUGGCCUUCGGAGGGGGACAACAGUUGGAAACGACUGCUAAUACCGCAUAAUAUAUUCUUACGGCAUCGUAGGAAUAUCAAAGAUUUAUCGCCGAAGGAUGGGCUCGC
rnacentral:rRNA from 1 species